rnacentral:lncRNA from 1 species
UUAAAAAGGCGCUUUUUGCAAUAAAUUUUGGUAUUUUUAAGCUUUUGUAUUAAAUUUUCUAAGAAAUUGUGUAUUUUAGUUUGUUUUAUCUGUAUUAUUUUAAUUAUUUAACUUUUUUAAAACUACUGCCUUUGAGAUUUGGCGCCAUGAACAGUCAUCGCCUAAGUUUAAUGAAAGAACUGAAUGAUCAUUUGGCUGGUGAUUUACUUUUGUGUUUGGUUACAGAACUUUGUGGAGCUUCCGGUGCGAAUGAAAUUAAUUAGUUUGUAUUGUGUUUAAAAUUUAAACUUUAAAUGUUCAGAACUUACUGCACACAUGGAGCAUCAUUUCCAAACUAUACGCUCCUCAGCCUUUAAAGAUUUUUGUGCUCAACAAUUAUUACAAAAUGUUUGUUAUGUCUAUUAUUACGACUAUGUGGAGCAAUACAUAAUUUUCGUUAUUGAUUCAUUUUCAUUUUGUCUACGUCAAUUGGAUGAUGUAAACUAAGGAAUCGCAUAAAUUAUGAAAUUAUAAAUGAUUUGCAAACUUUGGCAAUGGAAUUUUAUGUGGCGUUUUAUGUAAAUCACAUACUUUACACCGAUAUGAUCUAAUUUUCUGUUAUGGAAAUAUCGAAAAGUCCUCUAAUGUACAAAAUAAGGAAUUUACUACUUUUGAAGCGAUGGUGAUGAUAUUAGAGAUUUUAAUGAUUAUAAUGUUGUUGUAAAUGUUUGACUUGUCUGGAAAAAGGCUUUUGGAUCGAAAAAGUCCAAUAAUGUACAAAAUAAAGAAUUGGCUAAAAUGUUAUUGAUAGUAAGGUAUCCGAGGUUCUAAAGGUUAUCUUGUUGUACUUACUUACUUACUUACUUACUCACUCGCUUACUUACUUUCUUACUUACUUACUUACUUACUUACUUACUUACUUACUUACUUCCUUACUU